GUUACAAGGCUACAGACAUGUUGGCAGAAGCUAUGAGAGUGAGGAAGGAGUGUGUAAAGUUUAUAGAAGACAAAGCCUUCCUGUGCACAAUGAAGAGGAGACAAUGAGGUGAAGAGGGGAUGUAACAGUCAACCUUCUGAAGCCACAUCCAUGUGUGAAGCUGUCACCCACUGGGACAGAGACAAACUCCAAUACACAAGUCCUCCCUAUGGUCAUUUUAUCUCAGAGUAGUCAUUGACCUCUGCUAGAGAAAAUUUGUCCUGACACUUAUAAUUAAACACUUCUUACCAUGCA
rnacentral:lncRNA from 1 species